rnacentral:rRNA from 1 species
UGCAGUCGACGAUGAACCUCCUUCGGGAGGGGAUUAGUGGCGAACGGGUGAGUAACACGUGGGCAAUCUGCCCUGCACUCUGGGACAAGCCCUGGAAACGGGGUCUAAUACCGGAUACGACCACUGAGGGCAUCCUCGGUGGUGGAAAGCUCCGGCGGUGCAGGAUGAGCCCGCGGCCUAUCAGCUUGUUGGUGGGGUGAUGGCCUACCAAGGCGACGACGGGUAGCCGGCCUGAGAGGGCGACCGGCCACACUGGGACUGAGACACGGCCCAGACUCCUACGGGAGGCAGCAGUGGGGAAUAUUGCACAAUGGGCGAAAGCCUGAUGCAGCGACGCCGCGUGAGGGAUGACGGCCUUCGGGUUGUAAACCUCUUUCAGCAGGGAAGAAGCGAAAGUGACGGUACCUGCAGAAGAAGCGCCGGCUAACUACGUGCCAGCAGCCGCGGUAAUACGUAGGGCGCGAGCGUUGUCCGGAAUUAUUGGGCGUAAAGAGCUCGUAGGCGGCUUGUCGCGUCGGUUGUGAAAGCCCGGGGCUUAACCCCGGGUCUGCAGUCGAUACGGGCAGGCUAGAGUUCGGUAGGGGAGAUCGGAAUUCCUGGUGUAGCGGUGAAAUGCGCAGAUAUCAGGAGGAACACCGGUGGCGAAGGCGGAUCUCUGGGCCGAUACUGACGCUGAGGAGCGAAAGCGUGGGGAGCGAACAGGAUUAGAUACCCUGGUAGUCCACGCCGUAAACGUUGGGCACUAGGUGUGGGCGACAUUCCACGUCGUCCGUGCCGCA